AAUGGGGGCAACCCUGAUCUAGCCAUGCCGCGUGAGUGAAGAAGGCCUUAGGGUCGUAAAGCUCUUUCAGCUGGGAAGAUAAUGACGGUACCAGCAGAAGAAGCCCCGGCUAACUCCGUGCCAGCAGCCGCGGUAAUACGGAGGGGGCUAGCGUUGCUCGGAAUUACUGGGCGUAAAGCGCGCGUAGGCGGGCUGUUAAGUCGGGGGUGAAAUCCCGGGGCUCAACCCCGGAACUGCCUCCGAUACUGGCAGCCUAGAGAUCGAGAGAGGUGAGUGGAAUUCCGAGUGUAGAGGUGAAAUUCGUAGAUAUUCGGAGGAACACCAGUGGCAAAGGCGGCUCACUGGCUCGAUACUGACGCUGAGGCGCGAAAGCGUGGGGAGCAAACAGGAUU
rnacentral:rRNA from 1 species